rnacentral:rRNA from 1 species
UGAACAUUGAGCCUUGAUGUGUAGGAUAGGUGGGAGGCUUUGAAGCGUGGACGCCAGUCUGCGUGGAGCCAACCUUGAAAUACCACCCUUUAAUGUUUGAUGUUCUAACGUUGGCCCCUUACCGGGGUUGCGGACAGUGUCUGGUGGGUAGUUUGACUGGGGCGGUCUCCUCCCAAAGCGUAACGGAGGAGCACGAAGGUUAGCUAAUCCUGGUCGGACAUCAGGAGGUUAGUGCAAUGGCAUAAGCUAGCUUGACUGCGAGCGUGACGGCGCGAGCAGGUGCGAAAGCAGGUCAUAGUGAUCCGGUGGUUCUGAAUGGAAGGGCCAUCGCUCAACGGAUAAAAGGUACUCCGGGGAUAACAGGCUGAUACCGCCCAAGAGUUCAUAUCGACGGCGGUGUUUGGCACCUCGAUGUCGGCUCAUCACAUCCUGGGGCUGAAGUAGGUCCCAAGGGUAUGGCUGUUCGCCAUUUAAAGUGGUACGCGAGCUGGGUUUAGAACGUCGUGAGACAGUUCGGUCCCUAUCUGCCGUGGGCGCUGGAGAAUUGAGGGGGGCUGCUCCUAGUACGAGAGGACCGGAGUGGACGCAUCACUGGUGUUCGGGUUGUCAUGCCAAUGGCACUGCCCGGUAGCUAAAUGCGGAAGAGAUAAGUGCUGAAAGCAUCUAAGCACGAAACUUGCCCCGAGAUGAGUUCUCCCUGAGACUU